rnacentral:rRNA from 1 species
UACGAAGGGGGCUAGCGUUGCUCGGAAUCACUGGGCGUAAAGCGCACGUAGGCGGCUUUCUAAGUCAGGGGUGAAAUCCUGGAGCUCAACUCCAGAACUGCCUUUGAUACUGGAGAGCUUGAGUCCGGAAGAGGUGAGUGGAACUCCGAGUGUAGAGGUGAAAUUCGUAGAUAUUCGGAAGAACACCAGUGGCGAAGGCGGCUCACUGGUCCGGUACUGACGCUGAGGUGCGAAAGCGUGGGGAGCGAACGGG